CCAACUAUGUCCUGGCAUUCCUGGCCCUGGGGAAGAGGAGUCCUUUGUGCUGUAGUCCUGUUGGGGUCUCUGAGAAAAUGCAGAGGAAGGUCCUUUCCAGGCGGCCCUGGGCCUGCUGCCGCUGACACAGAGCUCUGACUUUGUGCCACUCUUCCUUCACAUCUUGGGACCAAAGUAAUUACAAAGACCCAGGAAGGGCAAAAGGGCCCAGGCUGCUGGCCCGAGUCUGACCCCUAGAACUCACGGUGUAAAGGGAAGGACUCUGACCUCUGCACCUGCACUGUGCGUGCCUGACACGCCCCAACUCCCAAGAAAGAACAUGAGGAAAAAACCAAACCAAAACAAAACCAAAACCCCAGGAUAAGUUCCUAAAGAAACUUUCAUGAAGAAAAUAUAAUUUCAAUACAGUGACAAUAUAGUCUA
rnacentral:lncRNA from 1 species